CGUGUGUGAAGAAGGCCUUCGGGUUGUAAAGCACUUUCAGUCGUGAGGAAGGUGGUGUAGUUAAUAGCUGCAUUAUUUGACGUUAGCGACAGAAGAAGCACCGGCUAACUCCGUGCCAGCAGCCGCGGUAAUACGGAGGGUGCGAGCGUUAAUCGGAAUUACUGGGCGUAAAGCGCAUGCAGGUGGUUUGUUAAGUCAGAUGUGAAAGCCCGGGGCUCAACCUCGGAAUAGCAUUUGAAACUGGCAGACUAGAGUACUGUAGAGGGGGGUAGAAUUUCAGGUGUAGCGGUGAAAUGCGUAGAGAUCUGAAGGAAUACCGGUGGCGAAGGCGGCCCCCUGGACAGAUACUGACACUCAGAUGCGAAAGCGUGGGGAGCAAACAGGAUUAGAUACCCUGGUAGUCCACGCCGUAAACGAUGUCUACUUGGAGGUUGUGGCCUUGAGCCGUGGCUUUCGGAGCUAACGCGUUAAGUAGACCGCCUGGGGAGUACGGUCGCAAGAUUAAAACUCAAAUGAAUUGACGGGGGCCCGCACAAGCGGUGGAGCAUGUGGUUUAAUUCGAUGCAACGCGAAGAACCUUACCUACUCUUGACAUCCAGAGAACUUUCCAGAGAUGGAUUGGUGCCUUCGGGAACUCUGAGACAGGUGCUGCAUGGCUGUCGUCAGCUCGUGUUGUGAAAUGUUGGGUUAAGUCCCGCAACGAGCGCAACCCUUAUCCUUGUUUGCCAGCGAGUAAUGUCGGGAACUCCAGGGAGACUGCCGGUGAUAAACCGGAGGAAGGUGGGGACGACGUCAAGUCAUCAUGGCCCUUACGAGUAGGGCUACACACGUGCUACAAUGGCGCAUACAGAGGGCGGCCAACUUGCGAGAGUGAGCGAAUCCCAAAAAGUGCGUCGUAGUCCGGAUUGGAGUCUGCAACUCGACUCCAUGAAGUCGGAAUCGCUAGUAAUCGUGGAUCAGAAUGCCACGGUGAAUACGUUCCCGGGCCUUGUACAACCGCCCGUCACACCAUGGGAGUGGGCUGCAAAAGAAGUAGGUAGUUUAACCUUCCGGGGGACGCUUACCACUUU
rnacentral:rRNA from 1 species